rnacentral:rRNA from 1 species
GCAAGUCGAACGCAGUAGCAAUACUGAGUGGCAGACGGGUGAGUAACAUCGUGGGAAUCUGCCUUGUGGUUCAGGACAACAUUGGGAAACCGAUGCUAAUACUGGAUAAGCCCUUACGGGGAAAGUUUUAAUGCCAUAAGAUGAGCCCGCAUUUGAUUAGUUAGUUGGUGAGGUAAUGGCUCACCAAGACAAUGAUCAAUAGCUGAUCUGAGAGGAUGAUCAGCCACACUGGGACUGAGACACGGCCCAGACUCCUACGGGAGGCAGCAGUGGGGAAUCUUGCACAAUGGAGGAAACUCUGAUGCAGCGAUGCCGCGUGAGUGAAGAAGGCCUUUGGGUUGUAAAGCUCUUUUGUAGGGGAAGAUAAUGACUGUACCCUAAGAGUAAGGUCCGGCUAACUUCGUGCCAGCAGCCGCGGUAAUACGAAGGGACCUAGCGUAGUUCGGAAUUACUGGGCGUAAAGCGCGCGUAGGCCGUUGAGUUAGUUAAUUGUGAAAUCCCAAAGCUUAACUUUGGAACUGCAAUUAAAACUGCUCGACUAGAGUUUGAUAGAGGAAAGCGGAAUACAUAGUGUAGAGGUGAAAUUCGUAGAUAUUAUGUAGAACACCAGUUGCGAAGGCGGCUUUCUGGAUCAACACUGACGCUGAGGCGCGAAAGUAUGGGUAGCAAAGAGGAUUAGAUACCCUCGUAGUCCAUACCAUAAACGAUGAUUGCUAGAUGUUGGAAAUUUAUUUUCAGUAUCGCAGCUAACGCAUUAAGCAAUCCGCCUGGGGAGUACGACCGCAAGGUUAAAACUCAAAUGAAUUGACGGGGACCCGCACAAGCGGUGGAGCAUGUGGUUUAAUUCGAAGAUACGCGCAGAACCUUACCAACCCUUGACAUGUCUGUCGCGAGUUUAGGAAACUAGACUUUUCGGUUCGGCCGGACAGAACACAGGUGCUGCAUGGCUGUCGUCAGCUCGUGUCGUGAGAU